AUUGAACGCUGGCGGCAUGCCUUACACAUGCAAGUCGAACGGUAACAGGCCGCAAGGUGCUGACGAGUGGCGAACGGGUGAGUAAUACAUCGGAACGUGCCCGAUCGUGGGGAUAACGCAGCGAAAGCUGUGCUAAUGCCGCAUACGAUCUACGGAUGAAAGCGGGGGAUCGCAAGACCUCGCGCGGACGGAGCGGCCGAUGGCAGAUUAGGUAGUUGGUGGGGUAAAGGCCUACCAAGCCGACGAUCUGUAGCUGGUCUGAGAGGACGACCAGCCACACUGGGACUGAGACACGGCCCAGACUCCUACGGGAGGCAGCAGUGGGGAAUUUUGGACAAUGGGCGCAAGCCUGAUCCAGCCAUGCCGCGUGCAGGAUGAAGGCCUUCGGGUUGUAAACUGCUUUUGUACGGAACGAAAAGGUUUCUUUUAAUACAGGGAACUGAUGACGGUACCGUAAGAAUAAGCACCGGCUAACUACGUGCCAGCCGCCGCCGUAA
rnacentral:rRNA from 1 species